ensembl:snRNA U6 U6 spliceosomal RNA
GUGCUGGCUUCAGCGGCACAGGUGCUAACAUUGGAGCAAUACAGAGAUUAGCGUGGCUGCUGUGCAAGCAUGACACGCAAACUCAUAAAGCAUUCUUUUAAUUU